GACUCCAAUAAGUUACUUCAGAAUUGAACAUUAAGGUUCAUUAUUCAAAUUCAUUAAGGUUUUUUGACGUUAUAACUCUCAAUUUUAAAUUAAACCAUGUCACCCAAGGGAAAGCAAUUGAUAAGUUUUGGAGUAUUCGUUGGUGUUAUCUUUUGUUUCGUCGGUGGUGCAAGAUCGAGAGAUAUUUCUGCUGACCCAAGAUGGACGUACAAGAAUGUAGUACAGUCUCAAGAAUCUCACUUAAGACAAUUUGCCACGGAUGGGUCCAGAUUUGUCUUAAAGUUUACAGAAAAUGACAUGGUUAGAGAGGUUGUUGGUGCGCUAGGAUGGGAGGUUCUGGGUGGACCAUUAGAUGGCUCAAUUUUGCUGACGAAUUCAAAUAUGACCAGCUUUGGAAAACAAGGACGGAAGAAAAUAUGUUUGAAAUGGUGAACAAUGAACAGUUUCAUUCUAUUUUAAAAUCUGAAAAUGACUUGUUUUGGUAAAAUUACACUGGACUGUAUGGUAUGCUUUUGUUUAAAUAAAUAUGCUUAUAAAAGUA